GAUUGAAUGGCUGAAAAUUAGGUGAUAGACUGUAAAUCUAUUUAUGAGAUUUAAUCUCUUCAAUCA
rnacentral:tRNA from 1 species